AUUGAACGCUGGCGGCAGGCCUAACACAUGCAAGUCGAACGAGUGGCGGACGGGUGAGUAAUGUCUGGGAAACUGCCUGAUGGAGGGGGAUAACUACUGGAAACGGUAGCUAAUACCGCAUACCAUCGGAUGUGCCCAGAUGGGAUUAGCUAGUAGGGGGGGUAAAGGCUCACCUAGGCGACGAUCCCUAGCUGGUCUGAGAGGAUGACCAGCCACACUGGGACUGAGACACGGUCCAGACUCCUACGGGAGGCAGCAGUGGGGAAUAUUGGACAAUGGGCGAAAGUCUGACACAGCAACGCCGCGUGAAUGAAGAAGGUCUUCGGAUCGUAAAGCACUUUCGUCAGAGAGGCGUUACCUACAGAAGAAGCACCGGCUAACUACGUGCCAGCAGCCGCGGUAAUAC
rnacentral:rRNA from 1 species